rnacentral:rRNA from 1 species
UACGGGGGGGGUAAGCGUUGUUCGGAAUUACUGGGCGUAAAGGGCUCGUAGGCGGCCAACUAAGUCAGACGUGAAAUCCCUCAGCUUAACUGGGGAACUGCGUCUGAUACUGGAUGGCUUGGAUUCGGGAGAGGAAUGCGGAAUUCCAGGUGUAGCGGUGAAAUGCGUAGAUAUCAAGAGGAACACCUGCGGCGAAGGCGGGUUGCUGGGCCGACACUGACGCUGAGGCGCGAAAGCCAGGGGAGCGAACGGG